UGGAAUCAUCAUCGUCGUUCAACGCCACUGUCUGCCUCCGAACAUAUUUUAUACUAUGUGCACCUUCGAUUUAAUUAUUAGUGAUAUUGAUGGAUUGUUACAUGUUUCCAGUGUAUAUUCUACUAUAUGGCAGUAAUCAUUCCAUAGCGAUAUUAUAUUGUACUUGUACCUAUAAAUUGGGUUUCAGAAGCCAUACAUUUCAUUAUGGAGUUUUGUACUAGUCACUAAAUUAGUCGAGCAAACGUUUGGGAAUCCUGCAGAACACCAAAUAAAUAUGUGAAUAACAAUGCAUAAGUAUUAUAAAUUAUCGCACUCGUCGUUUAUCUAACAGCAGAGCCGCAAAGCGUGCUGCAGUUAACGGGAUGAAGACUUGAAGACUUCUAUCGGAAAAGUUUAUUAGAAAAUCAAACCCCUGCUGAUAUGCAAGUUCAAACAGAGUUCACGGAACGAAAUUGAAAGCUCCGUGUAAUACGCGAGGAACCCCAAAUUGACAACUUCCGUAAUAUACCUACAUCUUUAUAUAAAAGGUCAUCUCGCGGAUAUACACGACGGCGACGUUUUACUCGCGAAUCCUUUCCGUCCUGCGUGCGCUCUUAAAACGUGUACGGCGUACCGAUAAUAUAUACCUAUAUAUAAUAUGUAUAAUACGCGUGCAUAAAUGUAUAUUGUAUAUUAUAUUUUAUAAAUAUCAAGUAUGUAUAUACCGAUAUAUGUAUAAUGUAAUACAGAAUGUACCUGCAUCGGCCUACGCAUAUACGACUUGGGGAAUACUGCAGCUCAGAUUACAAUCGCGGGUAAUCAGCAAUCGUAUUAACUGUAUUGCUAAUAAUAUAAUAUUAUGUAUGUAUGCACAUUGUAUAAAAUAUAUGUACUCAUUUAUUGUGAUUCACGCGUGUAGUUUAUUUUUUUACGUCUAA